rnacentral:rRNA from 1 species
CCAGCAGCCGCGGUAAUACGUAGGGGGCAAGCGUUAUCCGGAUUUACUGGGUGUAAAGGGAGCGUAGGUGGUUCGGUAAGUCAGAUGUGAAAGCCCGGGGCUCAACCCCGGGACUGCAUUUGAAACUAUCGAACUAGAGUGCAGGAGAGGUAAGUGGAAUUCCUAGUGUAGCGGUGAAAUGCGUAGAUAUUAGGAGGAACACCAGUGGCGAAGGCGGCUUACUGGACUGUAACUGACACUGAGGCUCGAAAGCGUGGGGAGCAAACAGGAUUAGAUACCCUGGUAGUCCACGCGGUAAACGAUGAAUACUAGGUGUCGGGGGUCAAAAGACCUCCGGUGCCGGCGCAAACGCAUUAAGUAUUCCACCUGGGGAGUACGUUCGCAAGAAUGAAACUCAAAGGAAUUGACGGGGGCCCGCACA